rnacentral:rRNA from 1 species
CCCCUAGAUGUUCUGGGCCGCACGCGCGCUACACUGAACAGUUCAACAAGUCUUAACCUUGGCCGAUAGGUCUGGGUAAUCUUUGAACGCUGUUCGUGAUUGGGAUAGACCUUUGCAAUUAUGGGUCUUCAACGAGGAAUUCCUAGUAAACGCAAGUCAUCAGCUUGCAUUGAUUACGUCCCUGCCCUUUGUACACACCGCCCGUCGCACCUACCGAUUGAAUGGUCCGGUGAAAUCUCGGGACGGCGGCUUGGUCGCUUGCGUCCGACUGCUGAAACUUGAUUAAACCAUAUCAUUUAGAGGAAGGUGAAGUCAUANCA